ensembl:ribozyme RNase_MRP RNase MRP
CUCCACUUUCAAAGAAUUGGUCUGCCCUAAGCUGUGCACAGGGUACUUGGUCUGCCCUAAGCUGUGCACAGGGUACUUGGUCUGCCCUAAGCUGUGCGGGAAAAGUCCCCUGACCAUGGGCAGAGGGGGAAGCCUGUGGUAGACUUCCUGCCUGCCACUCAUUAACUGGCCAGGAAGUGGUAGCGCUGCCUUGCAGGAGGCCCAGAGGCGUGUUGAGGGGAUGUCAUCUGUCAGCUCUCCUAGUUGCCCGGGCAGUGUGAUUUCAUGCACACCAGCCACACAGGGCUCAUUCUCAGCAUGGC